rnacentral:rRNA from 1 species
GUAGCGGUGGAAUGCGCAGAUAUCAGGAGGAACACCGAUGGCGAAGGCAGAUCUCUGGGCCGAACUGACGCUGAGGAGCGAAAGGGUGGGGAGCAAACAGGCUUAGAUACCCUGGUAGUCCACCCCGUAAACGUUGGGAACUAGUUGUGGGGCCGUGACGCAGCUAACGCAUUAAGUUCCCCGCCUGGGGAGUACGGCCGCAAGGCUAAAACUCAAAGGAAUUGACGGGGACCCGCACAAGCGGCGGAGCAUGCGGAUUAAUUCGAUGCAACGCGAAGAACCUUACCAAGGCUUGACAUACAGGUGGUGCAUGGUUGUCGUCAGCUCGUGUCGUGAGAUGUUGGGUUAAGUCCCGCAACGAGCGCAACCCUCGUUCUAUGUUGCAACUCAUGGGAUACUGCCGGGGUCAACUCGGAGGAAGGUGGGGAUGACGUCAAAUCAUCAUGCCCUUAUGUCUUGGGCUUCACGCAUGCUACAAUGGCCGGUACAAAGGGCUGCAAUACCGUGAGGUGGAGCGAAUCCCAAAAAGCCGGUCCCAGUUCGGAUUGAGGUCUGCAACUCGACCUCAUGAAGUCGGAGUCGCUAGUAAU